CGUUGGUGGUUGGUGGAGCGAUUUGUCUGGUUAAUUCCGAUAACGAACGAGACUCUAGCCUGCUAAAUAGUCUACGGAUAUCCCUUUACGGUGGUGUUCACUUAUGGUGUCGCUGCCGCGCAGUCCGUGUCGACUUCUUAGAGGGACAAGUGGCGUUCAGCCACGCGAGAUUGAGCAAUAACAGGUCUGUGAUGCCCUUAGAUGUUCGGGGCCGCACGCGCGCUACACUGAAGGAACCAACGUGUGUUUCCCCUCCUGGUCCGGAAGGAUUGGGUAACCCGUUGAACCUCCUUCGUGAUAGGGAUUGGGGCUUGUAAUUGUUCCCCAUGAACGAGGAAUCCCAGUAAG
rnacentral:rRNA from 1 species